UACGUUAUUUAUCUCUUCUGAAUUCAAAUAUUCUAAUCGCAAAAGUUUCAAAACUUCAUCAGCACGGUUAACGUUAUUAUUCAAGAGACCUGCGGCCAUCGUUUGCCCUCGGAUUUCGACGGCUCCGUGAAUGGACGUGGUACCUAAGUCCGCGUCAAUUCCGGUGUCUGAGUUAAUUAUGUAUUGUGUGUGUAAUGAGGGCAAAGGACCAGAAACUGUUGGGUCAACAGUAUCACAGGGGGGCUCCGCGCCUCGGCCGGGUCAUCCGUCCUAUGUAUCCAAUGUGUGUGUGUCAAGAACAAGGGAAGGAAAAGACAUGUCUCCGCAAAAUUUUUUCGUACCUAAGUCGAAAUUCACUUCGGAGCUGAGAGAGUUGUAUUCAAGAAGUUCUACCGAGAGGAUCAAAAUAUUAUAUUCCUACUCGGUUGUAUUAAAUAACACAUUUCCACAAAAAAAAAUUUUCAUUGCCAGGGAUCUGACUAUGUAUACUAUAUGUUUUUUGGGUCGCUGAAACCGCAUCCAUAGUCGAAAUUUUUCUGUCAGAUUCGGUUCUUUUCCUAACCUCAAAAAACAGGCCAAAGACCAUGAAAUUCAGGCUCAAAAUCAUAUAAUUCGAUAAAAACCCAAACAAAAUCCCAUAAUCAUAUAUUUCAUCAAUUUCAUAAUCAUAUAAUCUCAAAACUCUAUAACCUCAAACCUCAUAACCUCAAAAAUCCCAUAACCUUAUGAUCCUAAAACCCCUAAACCAAGUAAAAAAAAGACUUACACGCACUGAAGCAGGGUAAAUCAAUACGUUUGAAACAGAUUUGUCCUUCAAUCUCACUACCUCUCAACUUCAAAACCACGUAAUCCUAAAACCUCAUAACCUCAAAAACCCCAUAACUUUAUGAUUCUGAAACCCCGUAACCCAAUAAAAAAUGACAUUUACGCAUUUAAGCACUGUAAAUUAAUAUGUUCGAAACAGGUGAGCCUUUUAACAUCUUAUACAUUGAAACCUCAUAACCAAAUAAUAAACCACGUUCUUUCGCCACAAAACCUACAUUUUGCCGAACCUAGGAACAACGACGUGGACGUAGCAGGCUUCUAUUCCCUUCGGGGUGCUUUAUUUGCAUGAGGUCCCCUCGCCUCUCACGUUACGGGGUGCUUUAUUUGCGUGAGGUCCUCUCGCCUCGGUUAUGAGGUUUUUAAAGUUAUGAGGCUUGAGGUUAUGGAGGUUUGAGAUUACAUAGUUAUGGAUUUGAUGAAAUAUAUGAUUGCGGGAUUUUGUUUGAGUUUUUAUCGAAUUAUUAGAUUUUUAGCUUGAAUUUCAUGGUCUUUGGCCUGUUUUUUGAAGUUAGGAAAAGAACCGGAUCUGACAGAGAAAUUUCGACUAUGGAUUCGGUUUCAGCGACCCAAAAAACAUAUAGUAUACAUAGUCAGAUCCCUGGCAAUGAAAAUUUUUUUUUGUGGAGCUGUGUAAUCGUAGUAAUCGCGUAGGUGGGUCUUCCCCUUGUUAUUAGUGACAAUGGCGUUUCCGGCGAACACGCCUCACGGUGUAUCAAGUGUAGGAAUGUAUCCUUGUUGUAUUUCAGGGUUUGCAACGUUAACGUGAAAUGGAACAACUGACCUUGGUUUGACAUUGAUUCGAUUCGUUCCUGCAAAAGGAAAUCUAUUCCAAGAAUUCCGGGAUGAAGAAAAACAAAACGAUCUGGGACUACAUUCAAUGGGACGUCCCAGCAAAGAAAUCAUGUUUUACAGCCUCUCUAUCGGGGGAAUUCCUAAUGGGAUGGAAACCUAUCCAACAGCGGAAACCUAUCCCACCGCUGCCACCAAUUUUAUAUGUCACGUCCUCGGGCCCUCGGGAAUGAAAACGCGCUGCUCUCCUUAUAGUUUUGGGCUUACCUGCAUUCACCGGCAAUAACCCGAGAAGAUUGAGAACACCCGCCGCUUGUUGAAUAGAUAAAUGAUGGAAAAAGGGGUAUAUAUAUAUUUUGAGUAGAGAGAUUAUUCUAGGUGGCUUAAUAUUAAUCGGGGACCCCUCGCUGAUGGGGAUUGUAACGAAAGUAUAGUAUAUCGCAAAUAAUCUUAGUGUGUAGCGCUGUGUAUCAGUAUUCUAUUUUAUCUAUAAUAUUUUCGGCGGUUUUUACGCCUUCAUGUUCUCGCUCGACAGUUAGGUAGAUUAGUUUGCUCUGAACGUGACAAUAUACAAGUCCAAGUAUUUUGUUAGUGUCGAUUGAUAUGUUACAUAGAUCGUAAUUGACUUCAAAAUAAGCGGUAAAACAGUCGCGACAGUUUUCUAUUGGUAUCUUAAAGAUGAUGGGUUUGUCGCAAAAUAUACAGUUGCAAAAUUUAACAUCUCCUUCAGUGAAGGCAUGGAAUGUGUUAAAACUUAAGUUCUCGUUUGUCGCUGCAUCUUUUGUGGUAUGGCAAAGCGUACAGCAAAUAACUGAGUUAUUGGAAGUGCAAUAAGCUGAUGAAAUUAUGCACUUGGCAAGGUGUGGAUUUGGAAAAUCUCUCAUUAUUGGACCUAACCAUGUUUUAGGUGGCCUGAGUAAAUACAUUUUGAUGGCGUUCCUGCAAUGAUUUAAUUGCUGUAUUUUUGCCCGCGAGUGGCAUUUAUUAUUCAGCAUCUUCGAGUUUGGUAAUUAAUUUUACGUUACGUGUUGUCUUCGCAUUAAAAAUUACGACUUCUUUCAAGCCGUGGCAAUAUAAUAAUUCGAAUAUGUUGUGAAUAUCGACGUUGGUUUUACGCAGGUUACUAAUGGUUAAAUAAUACGCGGGGAGGCAAUCGCUACAGCGUAAUACUGAUUCGAAGAAUGCAAGAGAUAUAUUACAUAUUAAACAGCGUAAUGGUAUUAUCUGUCCUUCAACAAAGCCAUGAAAUACGCUUAACUUUAAUUUUUGCUGUAGUGAUUCUCUCAUGUUUAUAUAGCAUUGCAUACAACUGGCAAAAGUGUUUCCGAUGUUAUGAUGUGCGGCGGUUAACAUGCAUUUAGCGUUGUAUAAAUUUAGGAAGUUAUGUAAUAUCGGAUAUACUCGGGCUUGCGGUGGUUGUUGUCGGCACAUUCUGUUUAACUUCCGAGUGCCUACGGGUGACCGUAUUGAUUACGUUAUUGAAAUACUGUUUGAAAUCCCAUAUCUUUACGAGAUUCAUUAACUUUAAGUGAUUGCAGUCAAAUAAGAGAUGCAGUACGCGGGAAAUAUCGUGCCCGCGUGCUCUCAAUGUGCGCAUUAAUUUUAUAUAUACGUUCGGACACGUGUCGCAGAAAAUAGCACGUCUCAUUUCUAAUAAUUCGUCUCGACAUAGUUGACAUCUAAUACCGGGCAUAUGUCCGUCUAAUAGACCGUGAAAGUUACGCGGUCUUAAAUAUGCAGGAAAUUUGGCUCUAACAUAACAUUUAACACAAAUGAUUUAAGGAUCGUUAGGAAUAGAGUAUUACGUCCUGGAAAAGAACGCAACGGCCGCACGCGUAAGCGAGUGCCCCAAACUUAGGUCAAGGUACCGAAACCCUUUACCUGGGAUGGGACCGCGAGCGGAAUAAUUGGGGAAAAGGAUAGUGAACGCGCGAUGGUAUGAAUAUUAAAUAAAAUAGGAAAAUUAAAGUGACAAUUUCGAUAUUUAUUCAAUGACUACGGCUGACAUUUCAGUAUUAUACGAGUGGUGAGGUUACCAAAUAAAAUAAUGUACGGCGCGGUUACAAUAUAGGACAACAAACGGUGAGGUUACAAUAUAGAAUAACAAACGGCGAGGUUACAAUAUAGAACAAACAGCGAGGUUACAUUAUACAAUACGGUGUGUGUGUGUGUGUGUGUGUGUGGCAGAUAGUUUACCGAUAGUA